CAGUCGCCACGGUAAUACGGAGGGUGCGAGCGUUAAUCGGAAUUACUGGGCGUAAAGCGUGCGCAGGCGGUUUGUUAAGACAGAUGUGAAAUCCCCGGGCUUAACCUGGGAACUGCAUUUGUGACUGGCAAGCUAGAGUCUGGCAGAGGGGGGUGGAAUUCCGCGUGUAGCAGUGAAAUGCGUAGAGAUCGGAAGGAACAUCUGUGGCGAAGGCGACUAUCUGGGCCAACACUGACACUGAGGCACGAAAGCGUGGGGAGCAAACAGGAUUAGAUACCCUGUAGUCCCUGUCUCUUAUACA
rnacentral:rRNA from 1 species